AUGGACGUGCAUUUUUUUGCAAUAAUUUCUCUAUUGUCGGCCGUUUCUGGGGCGAAUAUUAUUUCAGAAUUGAUCGUGGACUAUUUUAGUAAUCAGAAUAUUAAGUCCGUUUGCCUUCUGAACUGUGCGAGUGAAAUAUGGGCAAAGAAUUUGGGAAAAACACUAAUGAAUAUGUCCAUUGGCUUAUCAUUGCUUCAUCUGACCAAGAAAACAGACUACAGUGCUUUAGAUAAAUGUUUGAAAUACACUAGUUGGUCGCUUGGGAUUGUUUUAGAUGUUUCUUGUGAAGGAAAUGAUGAUGUUCUUAAUUAUGCUUCAAACAACAGACAUUUCGCCGCAAAUAAAAAAUGGCUAAUCAUUGAAUGUAAAAGAGCUAUUGAUUACCCGAAACAUGAAGCAUUAUAUUUAAAUAAAAAUGAAACUAUAAUUGGGACUAUUAAUUACAAUAAUGCACUCAAGAAUGGAACUGUGCUUGUGUCUGAUGCUAGAAUAAUGAAGACCCUUGAAACCCUAAAUUUGAGUAUAGACGCCGAUAUCAAAAUAGCUUUACAGAAAGGUGCUGAAGAUUUUGUUUUAUACGACGUUUUCAAUUAUGGAAAAAUUCAAGGUGGCAGUUUAAUCGUCAAAGAAAUUGGGACGUGGAACAGUGCAGGUGUUUUCUCAAGUUUAAAUAAAUUCAAAUACUACGAUCGUUGGGACUUUAAUGAACUGGCGUUAAGAAUGAUUCUUGUUAUUUCACCUCCACCUCGGAAAUUUGAUCCGAAAUCUUUGAAAUUACAAGACACUACGCCGACGCCAGGCGUAGUGUCCAUCUUGAAGAUAUCUUCAAUAGUUGUACACGAAAUUGCCGAACUACAUAACUUCAGAUUUAAUUACACAAUCACCGAUCGAUGGAUAGGAACUUUUGAGAAGAACAGCAGUAGGGUUGUGGCGAAUUCGCUUUAUUUUAGAGAACAAGAUAUUUCACCUAUAAUUCGGUAUUUGGCUUAUCUAAGCGACAAAUUGGAAGUAAUUCAUCCUCCUAUUACUUCUAUAGAGACUAGAUACUACUACCGCAUCCCAACGAAAGGUCCAGGGAAAUUGGAGAACCAGUUUUUAAGACCUUUAAGCAAUGGGGCGUGGUUGUGCCUCAUAGCGGUCUCUACACUUUGUGCAAUAUUAUUAAUGAUGUCGGCUAUUGUGGAGCAACGUCCAUCAAUGGUUCAGUAUGCGGUAUUUUCGGUUAUAGCUUCAGUAUGCCAGCAGUUUUUUCAAGAUACGGACGAUGUUGAAGGUCGAAGAAUCUCUGGAGCUCGUAAACUAAUUAUCCUAGUCACCGGUAUGUCCUGCGUGCUUGUCUACAACUUCUACACCAGUAGCGUAGUUAGCUGGCUCCUCAACGGGCCACCACCUUCCAUAAAUUCUCUGAGAGAACUAUUGGAAAGCCCGCUUGAGCUUAUUUACGAGGAUGUCGGAUACACUAAGUCUUGGCUACAGAACCCAACGUAUUAUUACAACAAACGUAACGCCAAAAUCGAAGACGAAAUACGUCAGAAGAAAGUUUUCAACAAGAAAAAAGGGGCUCCGUUGCUGAAAUCUGUUAAGGAAGGGAUUGCUAUGGUGAAAGCGGGAGGGUACGCAUACCACACAGAAGUGAACAGCGCCAACGAUCUUAUAUCAAAGACUUUUACACAGACUGAGCUCUGUGAGUUAGGGUCUUUGCAGUCAAUAGAAAGGACCAACGUUUAUGCAUGUGUACAGAAGCAAAGCCCUUACAAGAAGUUCUUCGAUUGGAGCCUAAUGAGACUACAAGAACGUGGCGUUAUUGAUUGUGUCACAAAGAGAAUGGAAUCGAAACACGUGACGUGCGCUGGAAGCUCUCCAUGAGCCCUGGCCCUGGGAGGAGCUGCACCAGCUUUUAUGCUGCUUGCUUUUGGAUAUAUUUUGGCGACAAGCAUCAUGUUUGUGGAAAGAAUCGUUUUCAAAAUGAAGUACAGAAAAGAAAAAAUAUUGCAAUUCAAAAAAUAA